UUAUUUACUGUAUAUGAGAGGGCAUGUUAUAUAAUUAAACGGUGAAUGAGGGCAUAUUUUAUAAUUACAUUAUUUUAAAUGAAUGCAAAGAGACAAAACAAAGCAUUAUCUGUAUUUAUAAAUACAUUUCAGGUUGUCCGAAGAAGAUUGUUUUAUCCCCAAACUGCUUGGGAGAUCUGAAACAUGUAUAAAAAUAUUUAUUUCCCCAGGUGACUGUACUCGAUUUUGGGAUAAAAUAUGAUAUGGAAUCAUUUUUAAACAUUUCUUGUGUUUGAUUAUAGAAAUGGUCAAACUGUUAAAAUAAAGGUUGAAGUGUGAGCUUGGCUGAACACAUUCUUGAAACAUUCUUGAUAGCACAUCACGACUCUAUUUGAUGCUGCAUUCACAUCUGCAAGAUGUGUUUUUGAGACUUUGCUCAUCUGCAAUACACCUAUAGAACGUUUCCUAUCAGAUGUCGAAUAGACGUUUAGAAGAUGCCUUUAAGAUGUUUAUGAUUUAAAACUGACAUCAUAAAGACAUCUGUCAGAUGUUUGUACACAGCAGAUGAAGCGAUCUUCUCCGUGUGUUAUCAGUGUUUCUGCGCUUCACAGAUCUUUCCCUGAGCUGUUUAUUAGUGUUUUUAAAACUGGGGUGAAACAAGUUCCAGUAUUUCUCCGAACUGUGUAAUGCAGUGUUUUUCAGGGUGUUUUCGGUGGACUUUAGAGCCAUAAAGCAAGUGAAUGAUUAAUUUUCCUGCAGAAAUGAGACUAAAGCUUGAUCGUGGUGAAGGGCGAAGCAGCAAGUUUCACACAGUGACCGGUCUAGAUAUAAAAGUACAGUAACUAAUAACUGUUUAGCACCUUAAGUUGAGUGUUUUAGUAGUUGAUGCUGAAGCGGCUGUGAGGGAAAGUAAACGCAUCAUCUGUCCGUUUAAUGCUUCAUUUAUAAUUUGAAUCUAUCAGAACAGCACAUGAUCAGCCAGCGAUGGACCAAAGCAAGACUGAUCAUGUAACUCCGCCCACAACUCCAAACAAAGCCACGCCCUCAUCGCCAACGUCCGCUGAACAGCCGAUGGGUUUGAGCAGUCCUGAGUUACUAAGAGAACUGAAACAACCACACACGCUCAAACACGUCCCCGCGCACACGGGACGGAAAACGGUGUUCUGUGGACGAGGACGACAGAAUCAGACGGCAGAGAGUCAGUCGAAAACCCUGCACUGAAACUCCAGCAUUCUCAGUGACUGUUCAGCAGUGAUUAGUUGCUCUGUCAUUGGCUGUCUGAGCUGUCCGUCAGUGAUAAGCCCCACCCCCUGCAGUGAUGUGGGCAGGUGGUUUGAUCUGGUUAUGAGGAUCUUUAGGGAACACAUCUGUCAUGUUUGUGUGCAAGUAUGAAACCAGUUUGUCCAUCUGUAGCGCAUAUGAUGUUUAAACAAUGUACGUCAUAUCAAAUAUGAAAUAAAAAUCAAAGCUGACCUGUGUGUGUGUGAGUGUGUGUGUGUGUGUGUGUGUAAGAACUGAAGUGGCCAAAUGGAUUUUUAAAUGGAAUUAUGGGAAGAAGAUUUUAAUGAAUUGCAGUUCAGAGAAAUUGAACAGUCACACAGGAGGAAUUUCAUUAGUCCACCACAUUGCUGCUGUAUGUAUGUGAAAACCAAUCAACUGCAUCAUCAGUUUGGAUUAAUUUAGACACAGUUUUCACAGUUCAGUACUGUCAAAACAAUCAACAGCAAUCAAACAGAUUUUAAUUUAGAUACAUACACUUAUAAACAUGACUCAGUUGAAUAUAUAUAUAUAUAUAUAUAUAUAUGGUAGUAAGUAAAUUAA
rnacentral:lncRNA from 1 species